rnacentral:tRNA from 1 species
GGCUUUAUAGUCAAUAAUGAUAUUAGACUGCAAUUCUAAAGGAAUAAAUGUUUUAUUAAAGCUU